rnacentral:rRNA from 1 species
CGUAGGGCGCAAGCGUUGUCCGGAAUUAUUGGGCGUAAAGAGCUCGUAGGCGGCUUGUCACGUCGGGUGUGAAAGCCCGGGGCUUAACCCCGGGUCUGCAUUCGAUACGGGCUAGCUAGAGUGUGGUAGGGGGGAUCGGAAUUCCUGGUGUAGCGGUGAAAUGCGCAGAUAUCAGGAGGAACACCGGUGGCGAAGGCGGAUCUCUGGGCCAUUACUGACGCUGAGGAGCGAAAGCGUGGGGAGCGAACAGGAUUAGAUACCCUGGUAGUCCACGCCGUAAACGGUGGGAACUAGGUGUUGGCGACAUUCCACGUCGUCGGUGCCGCAGCUAACGCAUUAAGUUCCCCGCCUGGGGAGUACGGCCGCAAGGCUA